UACGGGGGGUGCGAGCGUUGUCCGGAAUUAUUGGGCGUAAAGGGCGCGUAGGCGGCCCGGUAAGUCAAAGGUGAAAUCCCUCGGCUCAACUGAGGAACUGCCUUUGAAACUGUCGGGCUUGAGGCCGGGAGGGGGUAGCGGAAUUCCCAGUGUAGCGGUGAAAUGCGUAGAUAUUGGGAGGAACACCAGUGGCGAAGGCGGCUACCUGGACCGGUUCUGACGCUGAUGCGCGAAAGCGUGGGUAGCAAACAGG
rnacentral:rRNA from 1 species